AGCGAACGCUGGCGGCAGGCUUAACACAUGCAAGUCGAACGGGCUUCUUCGGAAGUCAGUGGCAGACGGGUGAGUAACACGUGGGAACGUGCCCUUCGGUUCGGAAUAACUCAGGGAAACUUGAGCUAAUACCGGAUACGCCCUUUUGGGGAAAGGUUCACUGCCGAAGGAUCGGCCCGCGUCUGAUUAGCUUGUUGGUGGGGUAACGGCCUACCAAGGCGACGAUCAGUAGCUGGUCUGAGAGGAUGAUCAGCCACACUGGGACUGAGACACGGCCCAGACUCCUACGGGAGGCAGCAGUGGGGAAUAUUGGACAAUGGGCGCAAGCCUGAUCCAGCCAUGCCGCGUGAGUGAUGAAGGCCUUAGGGUUGUAAAGCUCUUUUGUCCGGGACGAUAAUGACGGUACCGGAAGAAUAAGCCCCGGCUAACUUCGUG
rnacentral:rRNA from 1 species